rnacentral:rRNA from 1 species
UUGAAAGGGAAACGAUUGAAGUCAGUCGUACCGACGAGAAAUCAACUCAUCGAAUGGGUAAUUGCGGGCGUAUGAGAGCUUCACGGUCUCAUUGUUUGCGAAUGCAUUGUUUUUUGGGUGUACUUUUUCGUAUGGUAGGUUAACGUCGGUUUCGAUUACUAUAAAAUGAUCGGAGGAAUGUAGCUUCGAUUUCGGUUGAAGUGUUAUAGCCUUUGGUAGAUGUAGUGAUUGGGACCGAGGAUUGCAACGAAUACCCUUUUGGGCUAUCCGUCUGAUCUCUGAAAGUUGCUUAGGUGCCGAAAGCUUGCUUACGGUCAUUCAUGACGACGGUCAAAAGGUUAGAACGUGAUUACAUUCGUUAAGGAUGUUGACGUA